UACGGGGGGUGCGAGCGUUGUCCGGAAUCACUGGGCGUAAAGGGCGCGUAGGUGGUUUGAUAAGGGUGUGGUGAAAGUCCGGGGCUCAACCCCGGAUCUGCCGUGCCGACUGUCAAACUCGAGGGCUGUAGAGGCAGACGGAAUUCCGGGUGUAGCGGUGGAAUGCGUAGAGAUCCGGAGGAAGACCGGUGGCGAAGGCGGUCUGCUGGGCAGUUUCUGACACUGAGGCACGAAGGCCAGGGGAGCGAACAGG
rnacentral:rRNA from 1 species